AACGAACGCUGGCGGCAUGCCUAACACAUGCAAGUCGAACGAAGGCUUCGGCCUUAGUGGCGCACGGGUGCGUAACGCGUGGGAAUCUGCCCCUCGGUUCGGAAUAACAGUUAGAAAUGACUGCUAAUACCGGAUGAUGACUUCGGUCCAAAGAUUUAUCGCCGAGGGAUGAGCCCGCGUAAGAUUAGGUAGUUGGUGGGGUAAAGGCCUACCAAGCCGACGAUCUUUAGCUGGUCUGAGAGGAUGAUCAGCCACACUGGGACUGAGACACGGCCCAGACUCCUACGGGAGGCAGCAGUGGGGAAUAUUGGACAAUGGGCGAAAGCCUGAUCCAGCAAUGCCGCGUGAGUGAUGAAGGCCUUAGGGUUGUAAACUCCUUUUAUCAGGGACGAUUAUGACGGUACCUGAAGAAUAAGGGCCUGCUAACUACGUGCCAGCAGCCGCCGUAA
rnacentral:rRNA from 1 species